rnacentral:rRNA from 1 species
GAUGAACGCUGGCGGCGUGCCUAAUACAUGCAAGUCGAGCGAAUGGAUUAAGAGCUUGCUCUUAUGAAGUUAGCGGCGGACGGGUGAGUAACACGUGGGUGACCUGCCUAUAAGACUGGGAUAACUCCGGGAAACCGGGGCUAAUACCGGAUAACAUUUUGAACCGCAUGGCUCGAACUUGAAAGGCGGCUUUGGCCGUCACAUAUGGAUGGACCCGCGUCGCAUUAGCUAGUUGGGGAGGAAACGGCUCACCAAGGCAACGAUGCGUAGCCGACCUGAGAGGGUGAUCGGCCACACUGGGACUGGGACACGGCCCAGACUCCUACGGGAGGCAGCAGGAGGGAAUCUUCCGCAAUGGACGAAAGUCUGACGGAGCAACGCUGCGUGAGUGAUGAAGGCUUUCGGGUCGUAAAACUCUGUUGUUAGGGAAGAACAAGUGCUAGUUGAAUAAGCUGGCACCUUGACGGUACCUAACCAGAAAGCCACGGCUAACUACGUGCCAGCCGCCGCAGUAA